rnacentral:rRNA from 1 species
AGGAUGAACGCUGGCGGCGUGCUUAACACAUGCAAGUCGAACGGUGAAAGAGGAGCUUGCUCCUCUGGAACAGUGGCGAACGGGUGAGUAACACGUGAGUAACCUGCCCCAGACUCUGGGAUAAGCGUUGGAAACGACGUCUAAUACCGGAUACGAGCUUCAGCCGCAUGGCUAGGAGCUGGAAAGAACUUCGGUCUGGGAUGGACUCGCGGCCUAUCAGGUAGUUGGUGAGGUAACGGCCCACCAAGCCUACGACGGGUAGCCGGCCUGAGAGGGUGACCGGCCACACUGGGACUGAGAUACGGCCCAGACUCCUACGGGAGGCAGCAGUGGGGAAUAUUGCACAAUGGGCGCAAGCCUGAUGCAGCAACGCCGCGUGAGGGACGACGGCCUUCGGGUUGUAACCUCUUUAGUAGGGAAGAAGCGAAGUGACGGUACCUGCAGAAAAGCACCGGCUAACUACGUGCCAGCAGCCGCGGU